UCCAGUUGGAUCUCAGUAGCAUCUGGAGGAUCCAUGCCGUCUGAAAAUCUUUGAAUACCCAAAAUCCCGCGUACGCAUUGAGGGUAAAGCUUAAAGGUACUUUUCCCGCUCUCUUUCGUAGUGCAAAUGGCGAACGUCGCCUCCCAAAUGAAAAACUAGGGCGGCAUCUCAGCUUCCUCAGAAAAAAACCCAUCAAAAUCAAGACAUGGAGAUACACUUGAAGAAAAAACCAAAGAUAGAAAUAUCACCCCCUCAACAAAGCAAUGACAAUUCUUCUUCC